rnacentral:rRNA from 1 species
AGAGCGAACGCUGGCGGCAGGCCUAACACAUGCAAGUCGAGCGCCCGUAGCAAUACGGGAGCGGCAGACGGGAUAGUAACACGUGGGAACGCGCCCUUCGGUUCGGAAUAACUCAGGGAAACUUGAGCUAAUACCGGAUACGCCCUUACGGGGAAAGAUUUAUUGCCGAAGGAACGGCCCGCGUCCGAUUAGCUAGUUGGUGAGGUAAUGGCUCACCAAGGCGACGAUCGGUAGCUGGUCUGAGAGGAUGACCGGCAUCACUGGGACUGAGACACGGGCCCAGACUCCUACGGGAGGCAGCAGUGGGGAAUAUUGGACAAUGGGCGCAAGCCUGAUCCGAGCCAUGCCGCGUGGAUGAUGAAGGCCUUAGGGUUGUAAAGUCCUUUUAACGGGGAGAUAAUGACGGUACCCGUAGAAUAAGCCCGGCUAACUUCGUGCCAGCAGCCGC